rfam:Tortispora caseinolytica NRRL Y-17796 unplaced genomic scaffold CANCAscaffold_4, whole genome shotgun sequence.
GCUCCAGUGGCGCAGUGGUUUAGCGCUUCGUGCUUAUAGCCGUACAACGACGUCUAUGCUGAUGUCACGGUCGUGUGAGAACGCGACGGUCGUGGGUUCGACCCCCUCCUGGAGCA